UAGCACUUGAUACUAACCUAGAUAUCUACGCUCUGGUCACAUCUAGUGCGUAUCCCAUGGUAUCUUGGUCCUAGAAGUGCCACAUUAACUAGACGAUAAGCAUUUAAGCUCAGUGUGUGCAGUGAUACGCUGGGUUAUAACUUAUUGCACAAAU